rnacentral:sRNA from 2 species
GGGCAAGAGGUUCGACUCGAGCGCAGCGAGAGAACGUUGCUUCAGCAACGGCCCGCAGGGCGAG